UACGUAGGGAGCAAGCGUUGUCCGGAAUCAUUGGGCGUAAAGCGCGCGUAGGCGGCCCCGUAAGUCCGCUGUGAAAGUCAAAGGCUCAACCUUUGAAAGCCGGUGGAUACUGUGGGGCUAGAGUCCGGAAGAGGCGAGUGGAAUUCCUGGUGUAGCGGUGGAAUGCGCAGAUAUCAGGAGGAACACCAAUAGCGAAGGCAGCUCGCUGGGACGGUACUGACGCUAAGGCGUGAAAGCGUGGGGAGCGAACAGG
rnacentral:rRNA from 1 species